GGGGCUGACACUGUUGAUGCCCAUGGAGCAGUCUUGGGUUAAGAGUCUUGCUCAGGGACUCAAAGUGGCCAUCCCUGGGAGUGUGUGGGACUCAGAACCUAUUGGGACUGAAGCACAAAUCUAACUGCUAGGCCACCACUCCCCCAUGUGACUGACUCUGUGUGUUUGCAUAUGUGUCCUCCCUCUCUGCUCCCAGCUGUUAAGAGGUCAGUGUUGAUCAGAGGCUGUCCAGGCCUUUCAGAGCCACUGAACCACCAGCAGCACAAUGAUGAUUUUACUGACUCUACUGCUGACCAUCCUGGAGCUCCUGGUUCAGGGUUCAUCAGGUGACAUCAUUCUGACUCAGACUCCAGUAUCUCAGUCUGUUGUUUUAGGACAGACUGUCUCCAUCAGCUGUAAAACCAGCUCCAGUGCUGGCAGCUGCCUCAGCUGGUACCUCCAGAAGGAUGGAGAGUCUCCUAAACUUUUAAUCUAUAGUGCUUCAUCUUGUCAGUCUGGGAUUCCAGGUAGUUUUAGUGGAAGUGGAUCUGGAACUGCUUUCACUUUAACAAUCAGUGGAGUUCAGGCUGAAGAUGGAGGAGUUUAUUACUGUCAGCAGGUUAAGAGCUUGCCACUCACACAGUGA